AUUGAACGCUGGCGGCGUGCCUAACACAUGCAAGUCGAGCGGUAACAGGUGUAGCAAUACAUGCUGACGAGCGGCGGACGGGUGAGUAACGCUUGGGAAUCUGCCUAUUAGUGGGGGACAACCCGGGGAAACGUCGGGCGUAAUACCGCAUACGCACUACGGUGGAAAGCCGGGGACCGGCAAGGCCUGGCGCUAACAGAUGAG
rnacentral:rRNA from 1 species